CUAUUAAUAACCCCUAAUACACCAAACACCAAAAACUAAACCAUUUUUCCCUCCAAGUAUGGGUGACAAAAAAGAAACGCUCUUUAAAGCUAUAGAAAAAGUACCGCAAGGGAACGCUGAAAAAGAAAUGAAACAAACAGUAAAGUUAAAAAAAGCAGAAAUUUAUCUUCGUACCUUUUGCAUCAUGAUUUAGUAAGUAAAAACCAAGCAAAAAGCAUUUUAGUUUGGCCCCCCGAAACUAAGUGAGCUACUCCAAGACAGCCUAAAACAUUAGGGCUAACCCUUCUCUGUGGCAAAAGAGUGGGAUGAGCUUAGAGUAGAGGUGAUAGACCUACCGAACUUAGUUAUAGCUGGUUGCUUGAGAAAUGAAUAGGAGUUCAGCUUUCUGGUUUCUCAUCUCCAAACUGCUUUAAUUACACCUGAAUUAAGAAACCAAAAAAGUUAAUUAAAGAGGGUACAGCCCCUUUAAACAAGAUACAACUUCAUCAGAUGGGUAAAGAUCAUAUUUUACUUAAGGGAAAAUGUUUUAGUGGGCCUGAAAGCAGCCAUCUAUAAGAAAGCGUUAAAGCUCCCUCAUAGUUUUAUCCAUUAAUCCCGAUAACCCUUCCUAAACCCACUAAUUUUAUCAAGCCACUCCAUGUCAACAUGGAUGAGAUUAUGCUAAUAUGAGUAAUAAGAAAAACUAGAUUUUCUCCAUGCACAAGUGUAACUCGAAACGGACCCCCCAUCUGAAACUUACUUCGGCCCCAAAUAAAAGAGGGUAAUGAACCACAACCUUAAUAACAAGAAAAACAACCAAAAACUAACCGUUAACCCCACACUGGUGUUCUCACCAGGAAAGAUUAAAAGAAAAAGAAGGAACUCGGCAAAUACAAGCCUCGCCUGUUUACCAAAAACAUCGCCUCUUGCUAAUCAAGAAUAAGAGGUCC
rnacentral:rRNA from 1 species